UUGCUCGGAAUCACUGGGCGUAAAGCGCACGUAGGCGGACUCUUAAGUCGGUGGUGAAAUCCUGGAGCUCAACUCCAGAACUGCCUUCGAUACUGGGAGUCUCGAGUUCGGGAGAGGUGAGUGGAACUGCGAGUGUAGAGGUGAAAUUCGUAGAUAUCUGGAGGAACACCGGUGGCGAAGGCGGCAUCCUGGACCGGCAUUGACGCUGAGGCGCGAAAGCUAGGGGAGCAAACGGG
rnacentral:rRNA from 1 species